CAAGGUUUCCGUAGGUGAACCUGCGGAAGGAUCAUUACUGAUUUGCUUAAUUGCACCACAUGUGUUUUUCUUUGAAACAAACUUGCUUUGGCGGUGGGCCCAGCCUGCCGCCAGAGGUCUAAACUUACAACCAAUUUUUUAUCAACUUGUCACACCAGAUUAUUACUAAUAGUCAAAACUUUCAACAACGGAUCUCUUGGUUCUCGCAUCGAUGAAGAACGCAGCGAAAUGCGAUACGUAAUAUGAAUUGCAGAUAUUCGUGAAUCAUCGAAUCUUUGAACGCACAUUGCGCCCUCUGGUAUUCCGGAGGGCAUGCCUGUUUGAGCGUCGUUUCUCCCUCAAACCGCUGGGUUUGGUGUUGAGCAAUACGACUUGGGUUUGCUUGAAAGACGGUAGUGGUAAGGCGGGAUCGCUUUGACAAUGGCUUAGGUCUAACCAAAAACAUUGCUUGCGGCGGUAACGUCUACCACGUAUAUCUUCAAACUUUGACCUCAAAUCA
rnacentral:rRNA from 1 species